AUUGAACGCUGGCGGCAGGCCUAACACAUGCAAGUCGAACGAGUGGCGGACGGGUGAGUAAUGUCUGGGAAACUGCCCGAUGGAGGGGGCUAACUACUGGAAACGGUAGCUAAUACCGCAUACCAUCGGAUGUGCCCAGAUGGGAUUAGCUCGUAGGUGGGGUAACGGCUCACCUAGGCGACGAUCCCUAGCUGGUCUGAGAGGCUGACCAGCGACACUGGAAGUGUGAGACUGUCAUGAGUCAGACGGGAGGCAGCAUGGGGGAAUUGUGCACAAGGGGGGCAAGUCUGAUGCAGCCAUGCCGCGUGUAUGAAGAAGGAUUUCGGGUUGUAAAGUACUGGGAGCAAGGAAGCGUUAUUUGCAGAAUAAGCACCGGCUAACUCCGUGCCAGCAGACGCGGUAAUAC
rnacentral:rRNA from 1 species